rnacentral:sRNA from 1 species
UCCUGCAAAAAAAAAAUUUCACACACAUUUUUCCCGUAAAAGUGUUUUUUUGGCGGGAAAUAGAUUUACAAGAGAUUUUAAAAGGGUUUUAAAAGAUUUUAAAAGAUUUACAAAAGAUUUUAAAGGGUUUAAAAGAUUUACAAGGGAUUUUAAAAAGGUUUUUAAAAGAUUUACAAGGAAUUUUAAAGGGCAUUAAAAGAUUUUAUAAAGAUUUUAUAGGGUUUAAAUGUGUUUUAAAAUAUUUACAAGGAAUUUUUAAAGGAUUUUAAAAGAUGUACAAGAGUUCUUAAAAGAUUUUAAAAGAAUUUAUAAGAAAACCCUUUAAAAACUCUUGUAAAUCUUUAUAAAACCUUUUGUAAAGGUUCACAAGAAUUUUAAAAUGGUUCAAAAAGAGUUGUAAAUGUUUUAAAUACUUAAAAUUCUUUUUCUAAGAGUUAAAAACUGUUUAUAAAGACUUUAUAAUAGUUUUAAAAGGAUUUACAAAGGUUUAAAAUCCUUGUAAAUCCUUUUAAAACUCUUUAAAAACUCUUGUAAAUCAUGUUUUACCCUUUUAUAAGCUUUUAAAAUCCUUGUAAAUCAUUCUAUACCACUUACUUAUCCUUUAAAAACGAUUGUAAACCAUGCAAACCCUUUUUAAAAUCUCUUGUAAAUCAUUUUUUGACACUUACUUAUGCUUUAAAAACGAUUGUAAAUCAUGUUAACCCCUUUUAAAAUCCCUUGUAAAUCAUUCAAUGUCACUUAGUUAUGCUUUAAAACGAUUGUAAACUAUACAAACACUUUUAAAAUCCCUUGUAAGUAAUUCUAUGCCAUUUACUUAUGCUUUAAAAACGAUUAUAAAUCAUGUUUUACCCUUUUAUAAGCUUUUAAAAUCCCUUGUAAAUCAUUCCAAUGCCACUUACUUAUGCUUAAAAGAACAUUAUAAACCAUGCUAACCCUUUUUAAAAAUCAUUGUAAAUUAUUCUAUGCCACUUACUUAUGCUUUAAAAUCGAUUGUAAAUCAUGUUUUACCCUUUUAUAAGCUUUUAAAAUCCCUUGUAAAUCAUUCAAUGCCACUUACUUAUGCUUAAAAACGAUUGUAAACCAUGCUAACCCUUUUUAAAUCUCUUGUAAAUCAUUCUAUACCACUUACUAAUGCUUUAAAACGAUUGUUAAUCAUGUUUUACCCUUUUGUAAGCUUUUAAAAUCCAUUGUAAAUCAUUCAAUGCCACUUACUUAUGCUUAAAAAACGAUUGUAAAUCUUGUAAAACUAUUGAAAAAAGUUUUAAAAUAAUUUACAAAGGUUUAAAAAGGGGUUUUAAAGUAUUUACCUAUGUUUUUAAAAACUUUAUAAAGAUUUUAAGAGGUUUUAAAAUAAUUUACAACGGUUUUUAGCAACUACCAAAGUUUUUAAAAAACUUUACAAGGAUUUUUAAAAGCAUUUUUUUGGCUGCGAAAAAAUUUCACGAGAAAAAAUUUUGGCGGAAAAAUAUUUUUUUGGCGGGAAAAAAAGUUUGGCGGAAAUUUUUUUUUGGCGGGAAAAAUAAAUUUUGGCUCCAAAAAUUCGGCGGAAAACUUUCAGUUUCUAAUUACAUGUUCUUAUUAGAUGAGGGUAAUUUGGUCAUUCUGUUCAAGGAAAGGGAUAAUUUUAAAAAUGAACGGUGUAAAAGGGUAUUGUUUCAAAAGGGUAGUAAAAAAAGGGUAGUUUUGCAAAUCUCCCUUCUAAGUUAGGCCAAAAAUUAGAUCCUCUAAUACAAAGAAAACUUGUUUCUUACCAAAACAACUUGUAUACAAAUUUUACACAUUUACUUAAAACUACAUAUGUUGUAUUUAUUAUAAAAAUAAUAUUUUUAAACAAAGUUAAUCCUUUGACUAA